rnacentral:rRNA from 1 species
AUGGUUCCACAGAAUGAUCUUGGCAGUAGAAUUAUAACGACUACUCAAAUUGAGAAUGUAGCUGCUGCUUGUUGCAAUCGUCGCCAUGACCAUAUUUAUAAGAUUGAACAUCUCAACAACCAAGACUCAAGAAGAUUAUUUUUCAGGAGAGUUUUUGGUACAGAAGAUACCUGUCCUGAGCAUUUUGAGAAAAUUUCAGAGGAAAUUUUUAGGAAAUGUGGAGGUGUUCCUUUGGCCACAAUAAGCAUAGCUAGCCUGUUGGCUAGUCAAGCAGUUAUGCUAAGGACAAAAUGGGAGAUGAUAUUAAGUUCUUUAGGUUCCAUGUUGGAGGAGAACCCUGCUUUCAGAUGGAUGAACCAUGUCCUAAACCUUAGCUAUAAUGAUCUCCCUCAUGAUCUUAAGACAUGCAUGCUUUAUCUUGUUUCAUUUCCUGAGGAUUCUAUCAUUAGGAAGGACCAUUUGUUGAGGCGAUGGAUCGCAGAAGGCUUCGUCAUGGAAAUACCUAGUCAAGAUCUAGAGGAUAUUGCUGAAGGCUAUUUAACUGAACUCAUCAAUAGGAGUAUGAUUCAACCUGCGUCUUUCGGUGAGGGUGGGGAGUUGAUGUCUGUCCGGGUGCAUGAUCUAAUGCUAGAGCUUAUUACCUCAAAGUCCAGGCAGGAGAACUUCAUCACUACAACAAAUGACCUGAAGGCCAGGCCUGGAGCUUUGGAAAUUCGUCGCCUCUCCCUUCACUUCAGCAAUGCAGAAGAUGACAAUGUUCUGGGAAGCAUGGAACUCAAGCAAACUCGAUCGCUCAUCUUUUCAGGCAUUGUUCAAGACAUACCAUGUAUACGGAAGUUUGAACUCGUCCGAGUUAUGGAUCUUGAAGCUAGCUUUUCUAGGAAUAUUUCAUGUGACCUGACUGGCAUGUGCAGACUCUUUUUACUGAGAUAUUUGAGGAUCAGAGGUAAUUCCUUCAAACUGCCUGAUCAAAUACGAACACUGAAACAUCUGAAGACACUGGAACUGAAUGGCAACCUGCUUCAUGUUCCGUCGGAUGUCUUCGAGUUGCAGUCCUGUCGCAUCUGA